rnacentral:rRNA from 1 species
GACGCUGGCGGCAGGCUUAACACAUGCAAGUCGAACGGUUGUAGCAAUACAGCAGUGGCAGACGGGUGAGUAACGCGUGGGAACCUACCUUUCGGUACGGAAUAACUCAGGGAAACUUGUGCUAAUACCGUAUACGUCCUAUUGGAGAAAGAUUUAUCGCCGAUUGAGGGGCCCGCGUUGGAUUAGCUAGUUGGUGGGGUAACGGCCUACCAAGGCGACGAUCCAUAGCUGGUCUGAGAGGAUGACCAGCCACACUGGGACUGAGACACGGCCCAGACUCCUACGGGAGGCAGCAGUGGGGAAUCUUGGACAAUGGGCGCAAGCCUGAUCCAGCCAUGCCGCGUGAGUGAUGAAGGCCUUAGGGUUGUAAAGCUCUUUCGCCAGGGAAGAUAAUGACGGUACCUGGAUAAGAAGCCCCGGMUAACUCCGUGCCAGCAGCCGCGGUAA